GACAGAGGUUGCAAACGUUGUUCGGAAUCACUGGGCAUAAAGCGCACGUAGGCGGUCUGUUAAGUCAGGUGUGAAAGCCCCCGGCUCAACCGGGGAACAGCAUUUGAUACUGGCGGACUCGAGGAUGGUAGGGGUGAGUGGAACUCCAGGUGGAGCGGUGAAAUGCGUAGAUAUCUGGAGGAACACCGGUGGCGAAAGCGGCUCACUGGACCAUAACUGACGCUGAGGUGCGAAAGCUAGGGUAGCAAACGGG
rnacentral:rRNA from 1 species